AUUUCAUACCUCUAUAUAGGUGAGCAGAAGGUAAAUGUCCCUUGACAAUGCAAUGUUCCACUGUUUAAUCAAGGAAUUGUCUAAUGCUACUCAAGGCUUGGUCUGCAAUCUAAUUUGGGCUCAGCAGGUACUGAGACAGAUAAUUACCAUCCCACAGGAAGAGACGUUCAUUCCCCUCUCUCACCAAGGUUCACUAUUCCUCUUAGAAAGUCUCACAGCCAUAGCCACAGGAAGAGACGUUCAUUCCCCUCUCUCACCAAGGUUCACUAUUCCUCUUAGAAAGUCUCACAGCCAUAGCCACAGGAAGAGACGUUCAUUCCCCUCUCUCACCAAGGUUCACUAUUCCUCUUAGAAAGUCUCACAGCCAUAGCCACAGGAAGAGACGUUCAUUCCCCUCUCUCACCAAGGUUCACUAUUCCUCUUAGAAAGUCUCACAGCCAUAGCCACAGGAAGAGAAACGUUCAUUCCCCUCUCUCACCAAGGUUCACUAUUCCUCUUAGAAAGUCUCACAGCCAUAGCCACAGGAAGAGAAACGUUCAUUCCCCUCUCUCACCAAGGUUCACUAUUCCUCUUAGAAAGUCUCACAGCCAUAGCCACAGGAAGAGAAACGUUCAUUCCCCUCUCUCACCAAGGUUCACUAUUCCUCUUAGAAAGUCUCACAGCCAUAGCCACAGGAAGAGAAACGUUCAUUCCCCUCUCUCACCAAGGUUCACUAUUCCUCUUAGAAAGUCUCACAGCCAUAGCCACAGGAAGAGAAACGUUCAUUCCCCUCUCUCACCAAGGUUCACUAUUCCUCUUAGAAAGUCUCACAGCCAUAGCCACAGGAAGAGAAACGUUCAUUCCCCUCUCUCACCAAGGUUCACUAUUCCUCUUAGAAAGUCUCACAGCCAUAGCCACAGGAAGAGAAACGUUCAUUCCCCUCUCUCACCAAGGUUCACUAUUCCUCUUAGAAAGUCUCCCAGCCAUAGCCACAGGAAGAGAAACGUUCAUUCCCAUCUCUCACCAAGGUUUACUAUUCCUCUUAGAAAGUCUCACAGCCAUAGCCACAGGAAGAGAGACGUUCA